AUCCAACAAGAAGGAAACUUGUCAAUAUUUUAGUGAUGGAUAUGAYUGAAAGUCAUGGGUAUGUACCAAUAAACCUCAGCCUGCUGAUUGGGGGCCAGUAUUUAAUCUUGAUAUUUUUGACUGAUGGUACUUUUAAAAGUUAAACACAUGCAUGUAUGAAAUCCAUAGAAAUGUUAGAAUAAUUUGAAAACACAUAAUUAUUAACAUAAUGAUUAUUCAAAUAAUUUGUAAUUACUGAGAAUGAGUUUUCUAUUCAUAACCUUUGCUUAAAUGGUGUGAGUUUGUUUAACCCCUAUGUGAAAUAUGAAUGUUCUCAUUGAAUAGUUUUUUAGGAGAGUCCCUCCUGUCAAUGUCCACAUUACCUAUGCCCUUGCAAUUGUCACCCUCUUUCCCAGUUUGAAAGAUAAUUGCUCACCAACUGGCUAUGAGCAUUUCUACGAUCCUCAAAGUGGACAGGGCUACCUGGCCUAUCGGUUGAAAACCAUUCAGCGUAGCACUGCAAGUGACUUCAAGAGGACCUCCAGGCCUGCUCAUCAYGGUGGCCCGAAAACUCAGAGAGACCUCAACAUCUGAACAGCUGUUUGGUGAUGGAUGUAAAGAAGCAAUGUCCAUAAUGAAGCAUGCAUCAGACCAGGAUGUCGUUAAGGAGAAAAUGAAGGCRACAUUUAAGCAUAGACAGAAUAUGCUACAUGAUCUGCACCAGUCAUCACUCAUCUUGGAUCACUUCCCAAGAAUCUUGGAUACACCAGGCUUGAUUGAGCAGGACUUCAUCAUGCUCUUUGGAGAAGACAUCUCGGGAAAGUUCAUUGCAAGAUGGCCAACGUUCUACAAACCGRAGGUCAUCACUGUCAGCAAAAGCCUUCGACAGUGGGAYCACCUGGAUGACCUUUUGUCUGCUCAGGAGGAAUCAAGUG